GAGCGGCGGACGGGUGAGUAAUACUUAGGAAUCUACCUAGUAGUGGGGGAUAGCUCGGGGAAACUCGAAUUAAUACCGCAUACGACCUACGGGAGAAAGGGGGCAGUUUACUGCUCUCGCUAUUAGAUGAGCCUAAGUCGGAUUAGCUAGAUGGUGGGGUAAAGGCCUACCAUGGCGACGAUCUGUAGCUGGUCUGAGAGGAUGAUCAGCCACACCGGGACUGAGACACGGCCCGGACUCCUACGGGAGGCAGCAGUGGGGAAUAUUGGACAAUGGGGGAAACCCUGAUCCAGCCAUGCCGCGUGUGUGAAGAAGGCCUUUUGGUUGUAAAGCACUUUAAGCAGUGAAGAAGACUCUUCGGUUAAUACCCGGAGACGAUGACAUUAGCUGCAGAAUAAGCACCGGCUAACUCUGUGCCAGCAGCCGCGGUAAUACAGAGGGUGCAAGCGUUAAUCGGAAUUACUGGGCGUAAAGGGAGCGUAAGUGGCUCGAUAAGUCAGAUGUGAAAUCCCCGGGCUCAACCUGGGAACUGCAUCUGAUACUGUUGAGCUAGAGUAUUGUGAGAGGAAGGUAGAAUUCCAGGUGUUACCGGUGAAA
rnacentral:rRNA from 1 species